AUGCAGCCUGCCGGGUCCGCCUCACGCCUCGCCGUGCUGGUGGCCGUGGUGGUGCUGGCGUCGUCGGCGGCGUGCUGCCGCGCGCAGCUGGCGAGCAACUACUACGCCGGCAAGUGCGGCAACGCGAGCGUGGAGGCCGUCAUCCAGAGCGCCGUCCAGGCCCGCCUCGCGUGGGACAAGCGCAUGGUCGCCGGCCUCCUCCACAUGCUCUUCCACGACUGCUUCGUCCAAGGGUGUGAUGCGUCGCUGCUGCUGGACGGCCCCAACACGGAGAAGACGGCGCCGCAGAACAGCGGCAUCUUCGGCUACGACUUCAUCGACGACAUCAAGUCCGACCUGGAGGCCGCCUGCCCUGGCGUCGUCUCCUGCGCCGACAUCAUCAUAGCCGCGACCAGGGACGCCAUCGCCCUGUGCGGAGGGCCGAGCUAUGCGGUGACCCUGGGCAGGAGGGACGGCAUGGUGUCGGUGUCGUGGAUGGCCGGCGACCUGCCGUCGCCCCACGUCGACAUCCCCACGGCGAUUGCCAUGUUCGCCAAGAAGGGCUUCAACAGCUUCGAGAUGGCCACCCUCAUGGGCGCGCACACGGUGGGGGUGACGCACUGCUCGGUGAUCGAGGACCGCAUGUACAACUUCAACGGCACCGGCAAGGCGGACCCGUCCAUGGACCCGACGUACGCGUGGGUCCUGACAACGUACGCGUGCCAAAAGGGCCAGCCCUUCGACAACAUCGUCUACCUCGACGACCCCUCCAGCAUCCUCAUCUUCGACAGGAGCUACUUCAACCAGAUCAAGAACCGCCGCGGCGUCCUCCCCGUCGACCAGGCGCUGGGCAUCGACCCCGCCACCUCGUGGAUGGUCGAGUUCUUCGCCACCACCGACUUCUUCCCCGCCAUGUUCGCCCACUCGAUCACCAAGAUGGCCGCCCUCGAAGUCAAGACCGGCACCGCCGGCGAGAUCAGGAGAAACUGCCGGGUUACAAACUAA
rnacentral:rRNA from 1 species